AUUGAACGCUAGCGGGAUGCUUUACACAUGCAAGUCGAACGAGUGGCGGACGGGUGAGGAAUAUAUCGGAACGUGCCCAGUAGAGGGGGAUAACUACUCGAAAGAGUGGCUAAUACCGCCUACUAUUGGAGCGGCCGAUAUCGGAUUAGCUAGUUGGGGGGGUAAAGGCUAAACAAGGCAACGAUCAGUAGCUGGUUGGAGAGGACGACCAGCCACACUGGGACUGAGACACGGCCCAGACUCCUACGGGAGGCAGCAGUGGGGAAUAUUGGACAAUGGGGGAAACCCUGAUCCAGCCAUCCCGCGUGUAUGAGAAGGCCUUCGGGUUGUAAAGUACUUUUGGCAGAGAAGCGGUAUCUGCAGAAUAAGCACCGGCUAACUACGUGCCAGCAGCCGCGGUAAUUC
rnacentral:rRNA from 1 species